rnacentral:lncRNA from 1 species
AGGCGGCGGAGGUGGAGGAGGAUGACAAAGAGAACGGCGGAGGAGGAGGACGACGAGAGCGGCGAAGGAGGAGGACGAUGAGAGCGGCGGAGGAGGACGACGAGAGCGACGAGAGGGGUGGUGUUGGAGGUGGAGGUCUGGGAGGUGUGGUCUGAGAGGAGAUGAGGCGAGGUGGAGGCGGAGGAGUCGGCGAUGUGGCGGCGGAGGAGCCGGCGAUUAAGUUGGGAGAGAAAGAGGAUAACUUAAGGGAUUAGCAUAAUAAGGUAGGGGUAAAAUAGGUAUUUUAUAU